ACAAAGCUCCUUGCACUUGCCAGGAGCUCCUUGCACUUGCCAGGAGCCAAGCUGUCUCCCCAGUCCAAAAUAUUUGAUUUUUGAAUGCUGCUUUAUUUCCAAGAAAACCUAAAUUUAGGUGCAACAGAAAGCAAAACUAUCAAGGAUGGGCUAGAUGUUUAUUUUAUAUAUAAACAAAAAAUCUAAAUUGUUUUCUUUUCUACUUGCCAUUUGCUCCAUUUUGUAUGUCCCAAGAGUUAAUGUCCAAGGCUUGAGGGGCAUGCUGGGAGGUGAGCAGGCCCGCUGUGGCUGCUGAUCGUGGCGUCACAGAGUUAGGCCCCCAGAGGGGGGAGCUGAAAGCUGCAAUACUGUUGGCGUUUCUCUGUGGAGCCCACAAUCUGUCUGAUUAUCUACAUGAGCCUCAAACUACCAAACAGCUCAGAGUGAAAGGUAAAAAGUAUGCCAGGAUUGUUUAUAGCAAGACUCUCCCUAUAUCAAUAAUUGACACAGAGGCAAAGAUCCUUUUUGCUAUACCUUUCUAUUCUAGCCUGAUGCCAUUGAGUGACGGCUUUCCUUUUCCAAAUUACUAAAAAAAUACAAUGGUCAUCUGCACAUCUUUGUUCUGUAUCAUGUUCUGUAUGGUAACUUUUUCUCAACAGCUACCAGAUGAUAUAUAGUACUCUUAACAUUUCAUCUACUUACAAAGUCUCUAGUUAACUAGACUGUCAGCUCCUCGAGGGUCCUUGGAGUAUUCCCUUUCUCCAUGGGAACUUCUGAACUGCCCCAAUUGCCAGUAACUUUUCUCUUUUAAGAGAGAGUUUAUACUGCAAUAUAAACUCGACACCAACUUACAUAACCCUACUUAGGUGGCUACUUGUAUUUUAAGUGUUUUCUUCCCAGUUGAAUCAAAAAGCCCUUGAGGCUGAAAGUU